AUUGAACGCUGGCGGCAGGCCUAACACAUGCAAGUCGAGCGGAGCGGCGGACGGGUGAGUAAUGCUUAGGAAUCUGCCUGGUAGCGGUGGAUAACGUCCGGAAACGGGCGCUAAUACCGCAUACUAUCAGAUGAGUCUAGGUCGGAUUAGCUAGUUGGUGGGGUAAAGGCCUACCAGGGCGGCGAUCCGUAACUGGUCCGAGAGGAUGAUCAGUCACACUGGAUGUGAGACACGGUCCAGACGCCUAGGGGAGGCAGCAGGGGGGAAUAUUGGACAAGGGGAGAAAGCCUGAUCCAGCCAUGCCGCGUGUGUGAAGAAGGUCUGCGGAUUGUAAAGCACUUUAAGUUGGGAGGCGUUACCAACAGAAUAAGCACCGGCUAACUCCGUGCCAGCAGCGCGGUAAUAC
rnacentral:rRNA from 1 species